ensembl:snRNA U6 U6 spliceosomal RNA
GUGCUUGCUUCAGCAGCACAUAUACUAAAAUUGGACCCAUACAGAGAUUAACCUGGCCCGUGCACAAGAAUAACAUGCAGAUUUAUGAAUUAAAAACUCAAAUG